AUUGAACGCUGGCGGCAGGCUUAACACAUGCAAGUCGAGCGGGCGAGGUUGCUUCGGUAACUGAGCUAGCGGCGGACGGGUGAGUAAUGCUUAGGAAUCUGCCCAUUAGUGGGGGACAACAUUCCGAAAGGAAUGCUAAUACCGCAUACGCCCUACGGGGGAAAGCAGGGGAUCUUCGGACCUUGCGCUAAUAGAUGCGCCUAAGUCAGAUUAGCUAGUUGGUGGGGUAAAGGCCUACCAAGGCGACGAUCUGUAGCGGGUCUGAGAGGAUGAUCCGCCACACUGGGACUGAGACACGGCCCAGACUCCUACGGGAGGCAGCAGUGGGGAAUAUUGGACAAUGGGCGCAAGCCUGAUCCAGCCAUGCCGCGUGUGUGAAGAAGGCCUUUUGGUUGUAAAGCACUUUAAGCGAGGAGGAGGCUACCGAGAUUAAUACUCUUGGAUAGUGGACGUUACUCGCAGAAUAAGCACCGGCUAACUCUGUGCCAGCCGCCGCGGUAAAAC
rnacentral:rRNA from 1 species